GGGUGGUUAGAACAUGUGAUUUUCAAAGUGGUGCUCAACAAAAACCUUCUUUGUGGAGUUUGUUGGGACACCUUGUCCUCAUUCCUUCACCAGCAGCUGCAGUUGCUUCAAGCUUAGAAUUCCAAGUACAAACCAAACAAACCCAUUACACAUGUUGCUUGUUUGAUUGAAUAUGGUAUUUUUUGGGGGAGAUGAAACACAAUUUGAGUAUGGUUCAAAGUGAAAAUGUAUUAAAAAUUUAGGUGUAUUUCAAAAGAUGCACCACAUAUAAGAUAAUAGCCCCUUUGAGGAUAUGUUGGAAUAGAAAUGAAUGCAUCUAUGGUCAUGUCUGUAUUUUGAUGAGUAGGAUAUUUUUACCACUUUGCAGAGGGUUUAUGAGUAGGAUAGCAAUGAGUUUGAAGAAGGAUCACAUAGUGCGGAAAGCAAUCACAACCAUCAAACUUUCUUUACAAGGGGAUGAGGAAUCUUUCCUUUUGGUAUCAAAGGUCUAUUGAGAAAAGCUCAUACAUUUUUUUGUAAAGACACCACACAAAUCCAUACCCUUAUUUUCUCAAAAGUCUGCCACAAUUCAAUCAACAUAGAGUUGAAAGUUGGUCUGUUGACCUCUGGAGACCUUACUUAUUUAUAUGUAGAUAUAUCCUAAGUU
rnacentral:lncRNA from 1 species